ACCACCAAAGUUACCGCCGUUGCCUCCACCAAAGUUACCGCCACUUCCAUCACCGAUGUUGGGACCUCCACCCCCGUUAAAUCUACCCCUGCACCUGUAAUAAUCGCCGUCGUCGUGGUCCGGACAAUGGUGCGCCGGUUCCAUGACUUCGCUUGUUUCCCUUGCUGCCGAAGACAUUGUAGCUACUAGCAUCACUGAAAGGAGCAGCAUUCCCCUGUAAGUCUUCAUUCUAGCACCUCCUCCUAAUGAUCGAGCUAAGUACUUGCCGGAAAGAGCAGCGAAGAAUGCUGCUAGAGAGUUCAUGAUAAAGCUCACCAGUCUCCACAGCUGAAGGAGUAACCAGGAUCGUCGUUGUCAACGGCGCUCUUCUUGUUGCUGCGCUCUUCUUGUUGCGGCGCUCUUCUCGCUCCCCUUUGAUCCUUCUAGGAUGGGAAGAAAAGACGAGUCUUAGCAGCAGCACUCCUGCAUUCAAUGCACACCACUGUCCUGCCUCAACCUCGUGGCUUGCGUAAGGAAAAGACCACUACCAGUGGCCUCGGUUCCUGGCGAGGAGAGCAAAACUCUAUCAGCUUCGUUCUCUUGUCUUCCACUCUCUAGCCACAUUCCACGGUGGAAGGGAACUGAGAGAAUCUAGAAGCCGCUGCAAAACGACGACCCUCCUCCGUGGAAAGACGGUCUCCUGCUUUUUCAAGCACCACCAGAGCCAGACGGGCCAGCCUUUCCUUUUCGCGCUUGUAUGACGGUGCGGAAUGAAUGCCAUCUCUUGUGUAGAGCACUUAGCGUGAGAGGUCCUGACCCCUCUGUCCCUGCACAAUGAAAUCACGUGCAGCUUGUUAUACCC